UCGCGAGUGACUGCGAAUCUGAAGGAAGCCCGACGCAAAAUAUAGGCCUGAAGAACAGGAUCGGAUAGAAGCGGCGUGACGGGAUAAAGUGGCCAUGACGACCGAAGUUCGAUUCUUGCACGGACCGCUACGACGUAGUUCUGACAGGCCGAAGCAGGAGGU
rnacentral:ncRNA from 1 species